UACCUGGGUCCGGGGGGCCGCGGGGGGCGCGCCGGUCCCAUCCGCACUGCAGCCAGCUUGAAGGAGCCCAGGUCCGGCCGGGCCGCUUCCCUCCCGCCCCUCCCCGCCCCCCACGCGUGUUUGCCCAGCGGCAAAGCGGGCUCUUCCAGGGUUGCACCCCGGUUGCCCUGCAUGGGGGUCAGGUCACCCUAGCCAGGAGCAGUUGCCAGGUUUGGCCGGAGUGUCUGGAAUUGAUUGCAAUGAAUUUCACUCUGGGCGGAGCCCACGAUCCCAGCCAGCUGAUGGUCUCCCCAGCAACAUUUGCCAACUUGGAGAAAACCCCCUCCCCAGUUUCCCUCCAAGCUGAUUUGCAACCAUUUGACUUCU
rnacentral:lncRNA from 1 species